GUCUCUGUGGCGCAAUCGGUUAGCGUGUUCGCCUGUUAACUGAAAGGUUGGUGGUUUGAGCCCACCCAGGGGCA
rnacentral:tRNA from 2 species